AACGAACGCUGGCGGCAUGCCUAACACAUGCAAGUCGAACGAGACCUUCGGGUCUAGUGGCGCACGGGUGCGUAACGCGUGGGAACCUGCCCUUAGGUUCGGAAUAACUCCCCGAAAGGGGUGCUAAUACCGGAUAAUGUCUUCGGACCAAAGAUUUAUCGCCUUUGGAUGGGCCCGCGUUGGAUUAGCUAGUUGGUAGGGUAAAAGCCUACCAAGGCGACGAUCCAUAGCUGGUCUGAGAGGAUGAUCGGCCACACUGGGACUGAGACACGGCCCAGACUCCUACGGGAGGCAGCAGUGGGGAGUAUUGGACAAUGGGCGAAAGCGUGAUCCAGCAAUGCCGCGUGAGUGAUGAAGGCCUUAGGGUUGUAAAGCUCUUUUACCCGGGAUGAUAAUGACAGUACCGGGAGAAUAAGCUCCGGCUAACUCCGUG
rnacentral:rRNA from 1 species